rnacentral:rRNA from 1 species
UACGAGGGGGGCGAGCGUUGUUCGGAAUUAUUGGGCGUAAAGGGUGCGUAGGCGGUUUGGUAAGUCUCGUGUGAAAUCUCCGGGCUCAACUCGGAGCCUGCACGAGAAACUGCCGGGCUUGAGUGUGGGAGAGGUGAGUGGAAUUCCCGGUGUAGCGGUGAAAUGCGUAGAUAUCAGGAGGAACACCGGUGGCGAAGGCGGAUCUCUGGGCCAGUACUGACGCUGAGGAGCGAAAGCGUGGGGAGCAAACAGG